UACGUAGGUGACAAGCGUUGUCCGGAUUUACUGGGCGUAAAGAGCGCGCAGGCGGUCGUUCAAGUCGAGUGUGAAAGCCCCCGGCUCAACUGGGGAGGGUCACUCGAUACUGAUCGACUCGAAGGCAGGAGAGGGAAGUGGAAUUCCCGGUGUAGUGGUGAAAUGCGUAGAUAUCGGGAGGAACACCAAUAGCGAAGGCAGCUCGCUGGGACGUAACUGACACUGAGGCGCGAAGGCGUGGGGAGCGAACAGG
rnacentral:rRNA from 1 species